CAGGGAAAGCAAGAAGCAUAUGGAAAACACACAGCCUAAAAUAGCAAUGUCAACAUCUAGCUUUGUUCUUCUUAUAAUUUUUAAAUAAACUGAUUAUUCUGUUCUAAAGUUCCAACAUUUAUUAUAACUAACGUAUCUCUUGGCAAAACAAAAUGCAUUUAAACUAGCCUCCACCCCCCACCUCCCCAUUAACUCAAAGUAUAUGUGGAUCAUAUGCAUG